rnacentral:rRNA from 1 species
GAUGAACGCUGGCGGCGUGCUUAACACAUGCAAGUCGAACGGUGAACGAGGGAGCUUGCUCCCUCCGGAUCAGUGGCGAACGGGUGAGUAACACGUGAGCAAUCUGCCCUGGACUCUGGGAUAAGCGUUGGAAACGACGUCUAAUACCGGAUACGAGGUGUGGGGGCAUCCCCAACGCCUGGAAAGAACUUCGGUCCAGGAUGAGCUCGCGGCCUAUCAGCUAGUUGGUGAGGUAACGGCUCACCAAGGCGACGACGGGUAGCCGGCCUGAGAGGGUGACCGGCCACACUGGGACUGAGACACGGCCCAGACUCCUACGGGAGGCAGCAGUGGGGAAUAUUGCACAAUGGGCGCAAGCCUGAUGCAGCAACGCCGCGUGAGGGACGACGGCCUUCGGGUUGUAAACCUCUUUUAGCAGGGAAGAAGCGAAAGUGACGGUACCUGCAGAAAAAGCACCGGCUAACUACGUGCCAGCAGCCGCCGCCG